rnacentral:rRNA from 1 species
UACGGGGGGGGCAAGCGUUGUUCGGAAUUACUGGGCGUAAAGGGCUCGUAGGCGGCCAACUAAGUCAUACGUGAAAUCCCUCGGCUUAACCGGGGAACUGCGUCUGAUACUGGAUGGCUUGAGUUUGGGAGAGGGAUGCGGAAUUCCAGGUGUAGCGGUGAAAUGCGCAGAUAUCGGGAGGAACACCAGAGGCGAAGGCGGCUUUCUGGCCUGUAACUGACGCUGAGGCGCGAAGGCUGGGGUAGCGAACAGG